GACAGAGGGUGCAAACGUUGUUCGGAAUUAUUGGGCGUAAAGCGCGUGUAGGCGGUCUCUUAAGUCUGAUGUGAAAGCCCUGGGCUCAACCCAGGAAGUGCAUUGGAUACUGGGAGACUUGAAUACGGGAGAGGGUAGUGGAAUUCCUAGUGUAGGAGUGAAAUCCGUAGAUAUUAGGAGGAACACCGGUGGCGAAGGCGGCUACCUGGACCGAUAUUGACGCUGAGACGCGAAAGCGUGGGGAGCAAACAGG
rnacentral:rRNA from 1 species